AUGGAAAGGAACUUAAUGCCACAUUAUAUUAUUGUAAAGUUGUUGGCCUUUUUGAUUUAUUUUUCUUGCUCCUUCCUAUUUUUGGUCUUCAUGUACUGUUUCUUGGAGCUCGUGUAUAUUUUUGUUAAAUAUCUUUGGUCGCUCCUGAUGGAAAGUGUAAAGAAAAGUGAUACUACUUCUAAUAUUUUUAAGUGUUUGUGGGACCAAAGUCAGCAAAACAAACGAAGGCCAAAAACCAAAACUUGUGACUAUGAAAAGAUGAGGGAUCCUGUGGAUUUGAAGAGGGAUUCUAAAGCCAUGGAGGAUAAAGGUUUCUGUGCUGGGCCACAGGUGGAUGUCAACCCAGAUAAAAAAUCCUUUGGACUGGAGGCUGAUGGAACUUUGCCCGAGAGGAAUAAACCUGUUUUAUUACCCCUGCUGAGAGCCUUGAAUACUCCAGAAUUCCCGGUGGAUUUCAGCUCGCUGCCGGAGGAGGUGACGGCCCUGGCUCGGCUGGGCUGCAGAGCCCUGCUGGAGAAGCAGUGCCACGGGGCCGAGCGAGCCUUUUCCCAGCUCCUGGGCGUCCUCUGCACCGCGGGAUUUUCGGUACCACCACCAGCAGCAUCCCCUUCUUCCUGCCAGGGAUGGAGCCUCCUGCCUCACCCCUGUGCCACGCCGCCCUUCCCCCAGAAAAGGCAUC
rnacentral:lncRNA from 1 species